ensembl:lncRNA
AUGAUUCCCGAAAGUAAUAAGGUUGCCUUUUCCUCCUCCCUUCACCCCAGGAAUGCACCCACUCCAGAUCAAGAGCUUCUAUUUUGGAAAAAUGGGCAAUUUUGUUGUCAGGACUAUUCAUAUAGAAAUGUCAUUUCAGUGCUUGGUAAGACAUUUCCAUUUCCUGAUCUGCAGUUCUACUUCAUUCCAGGUAGGAAUCUGCUCCUUUUUGUUUCAGUCCACUGCAAAAAGGCACAGCAAGCUCCAAAGGCCCAUCCACUACUGGAGAGCUCUGAUCUCUCUCAAAUUUAUCAGGAGCCGUUUGCAAUCACAGCCAGGGCUGUUACAGGGCUAUUCCUGGGAGAUGUAGGAUCUCCUCUCCAGCUCUGAAGUUUAGGUUUUUGUAACCAAAAUCCAUGUUAGGCCCUUCAGGCAAGGUAUCCCACGUGAGCUCAGGCCCAAUCAUUUGCUCAUUUGCCAUCAGUCCUUCAUCACUUGCCUUUUUCAAAGCUGGGAAGAUGAUGUAUGGACUCUAGAGCAGGUAAAGCCUAGUGCAGCUUAGGAAAGCUAGAGUAUAGGUGUAGUUCCUACUCACAGACAGAUGCUACUCAACUUUCUAGGUAAUGCUCCUCCGUAGGGGUUGGUUUUAUGAAAGGAAGAUGUCUUUUCACUCAACAAGAAACUUGUCCAUAGUCUUUAAAUGCCAAGCUCUGCAUUAAAGUAUUUCUGAAGACUGGGCGGUACAGUUGUUUCAUCAUCUUAAAAGCUGUGAAUUAAGUCAUUCAAAAUAUUUCUCCUGAGUGUUUUGACUGUAACUCUACAAGUAGUGUAAUUUACCAGUAGCACACAUCAGGAAAACAUGCAGCUCAUCCAAAGCCUUCCAGACAGCCAUUGCUAUCAAUAACCAGGCAGGAGUGCUCUGAUGAGUGGGAGCAACACUUACAGCUUUUAAGCCAUACAGACUUUGCAGCAGUGGGUAAUUGUCAUUAUUACCCCUGUGUGAGGAAACAGGGAUGAAGUGAUUCACCCAAAGAGCACAGUGAGUCAAUAGGGGAGCUGGGAAUAGAGUGCAGAAUUCCCUGCAUUAUCCAUUGGAGACCUCAGAUAAUAUCAUUUUAUAAAUGCUCUAUCUUUGUAAAGACUUCAGUGCUAUAAUUAUCCUCCCAGGACUCUCAUGGAAACAAGAUAUUUAUAACUCCAUUAAGCCUUUCCUGGUAAUUUUAUGAUCAAAGUGAAAAACCCAAAUAAUGCUGUGCCAAUCAGUCGCAUGUCCAAUGUCAUCCAGAAUGGCCACAUGAUGAAAGCCUCUCCUUGGCUGUUGCAAUUAAGUGCUUUCUAUCUUUUGAAUGCCUUUCCUGUGUCCAAUUCCCCUUCUACCACAUGGCGGACAGGGAGAAAUUUUUGCCGUGUGGUGAGCUGCACAUUUAGAAUGUACUAAAUGACUGGGAAAGAUGCUUGAUGCCAACAAAGCCUCCUGGUUUGGGCUAUAAAUGCUUCCUAAAAUCCUUCCAUGUGUGCCAGGUUCACCUAAAAUGAGCAAAGCCACUUCAGUAUUUCCACUAACCUUUGUAUGUCCUUAAAAUUACAACACAGAUGCCAAGACCAACUGUAAACAACAGGUUAGGGACUGAGGCUUUUGGACCCUGGUUCAGCAAAGCACUUAAGCCUGUGCUUAAAUCAAAAUCCAUUCUUAUUCCCCAGAUCCAUUUUAAGAGUUUGUUUAAGGCAAAACACAUGCUUAAGUCAAGUUUUGCUUGGCACAGUGUUUAAGCCCAGCACAGAGCGAGGGCCUUAAAAUUAAUUUCUUUUUGAGGGGAAGUCAUUAUUUUUAGCCCACCUCUCAAUGGCCACAGCCCUAUCUUUUAGUCCCCAGACAGCUAUUUUGAGGAGGUGUACAUGCUAAGCCUAAACUUCUGAGGUCUGUGACAAUCAGUGGCACAGAAAAGAGAAAGACCACUUGAAAUACUUGACUUGAGAGGGGCCUUCGGGGAGGCUCUUUAGAGGGAAGACGUGAAAGAAGUUGUGAUUAUUCUGGGAGGUGGCUGCUGAUACUGUGGGUGAUCUUGUCACUGCGCUGACUGGAGAAGAUUCACUUGCAGGAGGGCAACAAUUUUAGCUCAAAAUGUUUACAGGAGUUUUAUACUUCCACAGGAAAUUCAUGAUUUCAGGGAAAAUGUUUAUAGUCUCUUCAAAAGUAUCAAAAAAGAUUUGGCUGGAAUGUGUUAGUUUCAUUGUUUUUUGGGGGUUUUUUCCCUGAAACCCUUCUUUGAUAUACAAUUAUUAAAGGAAAAUUGAUUUAACAGAGUUUUAUUUCUCAUUCCUCAUAACGCUAGAUUCCCUGUCUCAUUGAGACAACUCCUACCAUUGUUUCACUGACUUAGACACUGGAAUUUUUCAAGCAGAUCUGGCCUUUGCCAUGUCUGGAGGAGGAACAAUUACAUUUUCUAAGAUGUUUUUUGAGGGAUGCUCCACUACUUUCCCUUUAACAUCCAGACUUGAUAGAGAAGGUAGAAAUAAAAAAAGGUAGCUUGAAAUACAUUUUAUUUCUCUGCGGUCUUAAAAAUAUUCUGCUUCUUACAGUCUUGGGGUAAUGCCAUGGAUAAAACCUUUUUCUGACUCCUGCUAUUGAUAUGUAGGACAGCUUUCUAACAGCAGGGAGAGUCAGGUAAGAGGACAGAUCCCCCAUGGAAAUUUGGCACUGCUGUAUUUAAAAGCAGCUUGUACAAGCACUUGAAGAGGAAUAAUUUAGAUACUCUUAAUCCACUCCUGCGCAGGGUAUCACGAUGACCUUUUAAUGCCCAUUUAACCCUGUCCCAUGGGAAAGUCGUUCCCUCCCCCAGAAGUUUCUGGAUUAUUUCCAGGCAGAAGACCCCUUUUAGCUCUAUCACUUAACCACCACAUUGCUUUCCUAAUCCAUCUCCCUUGUUUUUUUCCACCUAGGAAAGUACAGUGAGUGCCUGGAGCUAUCAUCCACCACAGGGCAGUGAUGGAAUCCCAUAGCCAGGAACACUUUUCUUCAGGGGCUUUUUUGGUAUCCCUCUGCCAUGAACAGUAUUUCUUUCCUGCCAAAAGCUUCCACUUCUAAUGAAAAUACAUCCUGCCUUUCAAGACUAGUAUUUUCAUGGCUGAUUCUCAACUGAUUGGGAGUUGCUAAAUCGAGUAGCCUCACAGAGGUGAGGCUGCUGCAGCUCCACACCCCUGGGUCCAGCAGACACAUCCACAAAUGUGUAAAAUGUCUGUGCACUGAUGGUUCCAGUGGCCAGCUCAGACAGAAACACUCAGCACUCAGAAAAACAGCACCAGUGGCCUCAUCCUGCUCCCUGCUCUGGCAGAUCAGGGUGAAGGUGUGUGAGUGCAAAAUAUUUUAAAAAAUCAUCAUAGAAUCAUAGAAUGGUUUGGGUUGGAAGGGACCUUAAAGAUCACCCAGUUCCAAUCCCCUGCCAUGGGCAGAGAUACCUUCCACUAGACCAGGUUGCUCAAAGGCCUGUCCAGCUUGGCCUUACAAAUAUUAUGGUCAUUUCCAAAUUUUAAAAUCAAAAUAUACACUUCCAGGUACUCCCACACAGGAAAUCCACAGGAGUGGCUUUCAGUUAUGGAAGAGACACUGGAACAGCAAUUAAGAUUGCAACUCUUGCACAGUUAACCAUUAUGGGCUAAAUUAAAAGUUGGAUGAAUCAUUUUCCAGCCAUAUAAAUCACUGAAGUUGUUCUAUCCAUCAUGAAGGUAAGCCAACCAUGUAAUGAAUUAUACGUGUUAUUUUCCUAUGCAUGUUAUUCCCAUAGUUUGUACUGUUGUUGAAAGUCUAUUUAUGUGAUGGGUUUUUUUUGCAAAUACUUUUAAAAUGAUGAAUAAUCUUUACUUCUAAGACUGAAAAUACAUGCCAGCUAUUAAUGUUUAUGGAAUCUGACAGCAGUUAAAGUGUUUGUAUCUGAACUUAUUUGACAGCUUCUUCAAACAGCUUUUACUAGGUAUUUUUUAUAGGAUUAAAUAUUCUUACAUUUGUGCAAUUUGUUCUAUAACGCAUGUGGUAGGGAAAGCAAAUGUGUUCUAGAUAUUAGACAACCAGUCUCAUGAGCAGCAACAGCUUUCCUCGUGAUCACUUUUUAUUGGAAGCCAAACAUCAUGGUCAAACUGUCACUGCAAAUUCAUAGAAGGACCGAUGAUUCUGAAUCCUGUGGAGCAAAAUAAAGCUCGGCAGAAAUUUAGGUGCUCCAGUGGAACAAGAUCCCAAAUGCUUGCAAUUUUUCUGUUACAAAUUCAUUUUAUUUGCAAGAAGUUGGCACUGGUUGUAGGCAGAGCAGGCCAGACCUUCACCUGCCCACACAGGCAGUGACACACAAGUCACCACAGUUUAUCAGGAUGUGGAGCUGAUCCAGACGCCUCUGCUCAGACUGUCCUGGAUUUUGUGCACACCAGCACCAGGGAGCUGUUUGUUGUUACCAAUGUGAUUUCUUAGCAUGAGGCACCACUUUGGCCUUGGUUUGAAGCGCCCUACAGGAAGCAGUGACCUGGCCCAAGGGAGCUGCUUCUCUGCUGGUUCUGGCACAGCUUCCACACAGGACUUCCAGACACUGCAGCUUUUUGUCCUGCGUGUUUGGUUGGCGAGUUUAGUAUAUCAGAUUUGCAAAGUCUGUGAAUAACUGACCCACAAAUUAUGAAUGCAGCAGGAAAGCUUGGAGUGAAGCACUGGGAGGUGGGCAACCAGGGGAGGAGCACAGGUAUGACUGCACUGGUUUGGCACAGCACAAUGUACAGCAUUGAAAGCUGAAAUCAAGAACUCUGCACGCAGAGUCUGAAGAUGUGGGAUUGGGAAGCAGCUCAGUGGUUCAUCCAUCCACGGGCUGGCAAAGAA